CAGUCGCCGCGGGAAUACGGAGGGUGCAAGCGUUAAUCGGAAUUACUGGGCGUAAAGCGCACGCAGGCGGUUUGUUAAGUCAGAUGUGAAAUCCCCGGGCUCAACCUGGGAACUGCAUUUGAAACUGGCAAGCUAGAGUCUCGUAGAGGGGGGUAGAAUUCCAGGUGUAGCGGUGAAAUGCGUAGAGAUCUGGAGGAAUACCGGUGGCGAAGGCGGCCCCCUGGACGAAGACUGACGCUCAGGUGCGAAAGCGUGGGGAGCAAACAGGAUUAGAUACCCGAGUAGUCCCUGUCUCUUAUAC
rnacentral:rRNA from 1 species